GAGGGCGGUUGCCGUGGCGACAGGGCGGCCUCCGGGGCGAGGAUGCUGCGGCUUGUAGCGGGGUGUGCCCGGGCUGUAGCGGGACGCACCCGGCUGUAGCUUGGCUGGAGCCCUCUGGAGCGGGGGUGGUUGCAGCAGAAUGGGUCUGGCUGUACCAGGGGUGGGUGUACUGGGAUUGGACCCAGCUGUAGCAGGAUGCAUCCAGCCGUAUCUUGGCUGGGCCCGGCCGGGACUGGCUGCACCAGGUCCUGCAUCACCUCAUGCCCUCCUGCACAAAGGCACCGUCUGCUCCCCUCCCCAGCACAACACGGAGCCUGCACCGGGCCACCGGGUUCCUCCUUCUCGUCUUCAUCAUCCUUCUCUCCCUUGAGCUUCUGGCGAGCAAAUUCCUCGAUGACAAUGUCCUCCUCGCUGGAAGGGAGAGCAGAGCACAGUGAGGCCACAGGAGGAGGGGAAAUCCCUGCUGAGCCCAAACCCUGCUCCAAAUGGGGACAGAGCAGUGGUCACCCCAUCCCUGUCACCCCACUCAGAACACUGCACACAAACCCAGGCCCCACCAAGGACCUGGGCCUGCAGCUUCUGGUGGCUUUUUACACAAUAUUUUGCAUUUCCAAGGGAAAACAAGGAAAGGAAAACAAAGAGCUGGGUUACCUCCUUGAGAAAGGCGGGCAGUGAGUGACAGCAAGGGAGAGCACAAAGUGAAAAGUAGGGGAGAAAACAGUAAAAAAGAGUCAGCAAAAGACAUUCCAAAA